GUGAGGCAGGCGACUAAUCAGAUUGUGAUGAAUUGUGCUGAUAUUGAUAUUAUUACAGCUUCAUAUGCACCAGAAGGAGAUGAAGAAAUACAUGCUACAGGAUUUAACUAUCAGAAUGAAGAUGAAAAAGUCACCUUGUCUUUCCCUAGUACUCUGCAAACAGGUACAGGAACCUUAAAGAUAGAUUUUGUUGGAGAGCUGAAUGACAAAAUGAAAGGUUUCUAUAGAAGUAAGUAUACUACCCCUUCUGGAGAGGUGCGCUAUGCUGCUGUAACACAGUUUGAGGCUACUGAUGCCCGAAGGGCUUUUCCUUGCUGGGAUGAGCCUGCUAUCAAAGCAACUUUUGAUAUCUCAUUGGUUGUUCCUAAAGACAGAGUAGCUUUAUCAAACAUGAAUGUAAUUGACCGGAAACCAUACCCUGAUGAUGAAAAUUUAGUGGAAGUGAAGUUUGCCCGCACACCUGUUACAUCUACAUAUCUGGUGGCAUUUGUUGUGGGUGAAUAUGACUUUGUAGAAACAAGGUCAAAAGAUGGUGUGUGUGUCUGUGUUUACACUCCUGUUGGCAAAGCAGAACAAGGAAAAUUUGCAUUAGAGGUUGCUGCUAAAACCUUGCCUUUUUAUAAGGACUACUUCAAUGUUCCUUAUCCUCUACCUAAAAUUGAUCUCAUUGCUAUUGCAGACUUUGCAGCUGGUAAAGUAAAUUUCAUUUUAUUGCUGAAUUGUAAUAACUUUUUAAAAUUUUGUGACUUUUGAUGCAAGAGUAUAUAUAUAU